rnacentral:lncRNA from 1 species
UUACACGCUCUCGCAUCGGUCAGAGUCGUCUUAUCGCAUUCGCGUCGGGCCAAGCGAGGCCUCCGAUGCAGAUCCAUCUGACAUGGUGUUUCUAUAGCAGAGCAACGGCGCCGCUGGAUGAGUUCUUCACCGUGCCGGUACAAGGUCGGCAUCAAGUGAUGGCGCACAACUCCAGCCGGUGGCGUGGCCGCGGUGGGUGCACACCAAUCCGCAGCAGAGCAAACCCUGACUCGGCUACUCCCGGCGUGCGUGAUCUUCGAACGGCCGGUCACGCGACCACACGACGCGGUGCUGCGGCAGCGGCCUUCAGCCUGCUGCAUUGCCCUGGCAACAACCUCCCUGAAAAUGAUGCUGACGGUCACUGCGGCAACGACGCCCA